GCGGAAAUAGCUUAAUGGUAGAGCAUAGCCUUGCCAAGGCUGAGGUUGAGGGUUCAAGUCCCUUCUUCCGC